AUGUUUCAGGUUUCUACUACUGCAGAUGUUUCAGGUUUCUACUACUGCAGGUGUUUCAGGUUUCUACUACUGCAGGUGUUUCAGGUUUCUUCUACUGCAGAUGUUUCAGGUUUCUACUGCUGCAGGUGUUUCAGGUUUCUACUACUGCAGGUGUUUCAGGUUUCUUCUACUGCAGAUGUUUCAGGUUUCUACUGCUGCAGGUGUUUCAGGUUUUUACUACUGCAGGUGUUUCAGGUUUUUACUACUGCAGGUGUUUCAGGUUUCUACUACUGCAGAUGUUUCAGGUUUCUACUACUGCAGAUGUUUCAGGUUUCUACUACUGCAGAUGUUUCAGGUUUCUACUACUGCAGGUGUUUCAGGUUUCUACUACUGCAGGUGUUUCAGGUUUCUUCUACUGCAGGUGUUUCAGGUUUCUACUACUGCAGGUGUUUCAGGUUUCUACUACUGCAGAUGUUUCAGGUUUCUACUACUGCAGGUGUUUCAGGUUUCUACUACUGCAGGUGUUUCAGGUUUCUUCUACUGCAGGUGUUUCAGGUUUCUUCUACUGCAGGUGUUUCAGGUUUCUACUGCUGCAGGUGUUUCAGGUUUCUGCUACUGCAGAUGUUUCAGGUUUUUACUACUGCAGAUGUUUCAGGUUUCUACUACUGCAGGUGUUUCAGGUUUCUACUACUGCAGAUGUUUCAGGUUUCUACUGCUGCAGAUGUUUCAGGUUUCUACUACUGCAGAUGUUUCAGGUUUCUACUGCUGCAGGUGUUUCAGGUUUCUACUACUGCAGAUGUUUCAGGUUUCUACUACUGCAGGUGUUUCAGGUUUCUACUGCUGCAGAUGUUUCAGGUUUCUACUGCUGCAGGUGUUUCAGGUUUCUACUACUGCAGAUGUUUCAGGUUUCUACUACUGCAGAUGUUUCAGGUUUCUAUUGCUGCAGAUGUUUCAGGUUUCUACUGCAGAUGUUUCAGGUUUCUACUGCUGCAGAUGUUUCAGGUUUCUACUGCUGCAGGUGUUUCAGGUUUCUACUACUGCAGAUGUUUCAGGUUUCUACUACUGCAGGUGUUUCAGGUUUCUUCUACUGCAGGUGUUUCAGGUUUCUUCUACUGCAGGUGUUUCAGGUUUCUACUGCUGCAGGUGUUUCAGGUUUCUGCUACUGCAGAUGUUUCAGGUUUUUACUACUGCAGAUGUUUCAGGUUUCUACUACUGCAGGUGUUUCAGGUUUCUACUACUGCAGAUGUUUCAGGUUUCUACUGCUGCAGAUGUUUCAGGUUUCUACUACUGCAGGUGUUUCAGGUUUCUACUGCUGCAGGUGUUUCAGGUUUCUACUGCAGAUGUUUCAGGUUUCUACUGCUGCAGAUGUUUCAGGUUUCUACGACUGCAGAUGUUUCAGGUUUCUACUGCUGCAGAUGUUUCAGGUUUCUACUGCUGCAGAUGUUUCAGGUUUCUACUGCUGCAGGUGUUUCAGGUUUCUACUACUGCAGGUGUUUCAGGUUUCUACUGCUGCAGAUGUUUCAGGUUUCUACUGCAGGUGUUUCAGGUUUCUACUGCUGCAGGUGUUUCAGAUUUCUACUGCAGAUGUUUCAGGUUUCUACUGCUGCAGAUGUUUCAGGUUUCUACGACUGCAGAUGUUUCAGGUUUCUACUGCUGCAGAUGUUUCAGGUUUCUACUGCUGCAGAUGUUUCAGGUUUCUACUGCUGCAGGUGUUUCAGGUUUCUACUACUGCAGGUGUUUCAGGUUUCUACUGCUGCAGAUGUUUCAGGUUUCUACUGCAGGUGUUUCAGGUUUCUACUGCUGCAGGUGUUUCAGGUUUCUACUACUGCAGGUGUUUCAGGUUUCUACUGCAGGUGUUUCAGGUUUCUACUGCUGCAGGUGUUUCAGAUUUCUACUGCAGAUGUUUCAGGUUUCUACUGCUGCAGGUGUUUCAGGUUUCUACUGCAGGUGUUUCAGGUUUCUACUGCUGCAGGUGUUUCAGGUUUCUACGACUGCAGAUGUUUCAGGUUUCUACUGCUGCAGAUGUUUCAGGUUUCUACUGCUGCAGAUGUUUCAGGUUUCUACUGCUGCAGGUGUUUCAGGUUUCUACUACUGCAGGUGUUUCAGGUUUCUACUACUGCAGAUGUUUCAGGUUUCUACUGCUGCAGGUGUUUCAGGUUUCUACUGCUGCAGAUGUUUCAGGUUUCUACUACUGCAGAUGUUUCAGGUUUCUACUGCUGCAGGUGUUUCAGGUUUCUACUACUGCAGAUGUUUCAGGUUUCUACUGCUGCAGAUGUUUCAGGUUUCUACUGCUGCAGGUGUUUCAGGUUUCUACUACUGCACAUGUUUCAGGUUUCUACUGCUGCAGCUGUUUCAGGUUUCUACUACUGCACAUGUUUCAGGUUUCUACUGCUGCAGGUGUUUCAGGUUUCUACUGCAGAUGUUUCAGGUUUCUACUGCUGCAGGUGUUUCAGGUUUCUACUGCUGCAGAUGUUUCAGGUUUCUACUACUGCAGGUGUUUCAGGUUUCUACUACUGCAGGUGUUUCAGGUUUCUACUGCAGAUGUUUCAGGUUUCUACUGCUGCAGGUGUUUCAGGUUUCUACUACUGCAGGUGUUUCAGGUUUCUUCUACUGCAGGUGUUUCAGGUUUCUUCUACUGCAGGUGUUUCAGGUUUCUACUGCUGCAGGUGUUUCAGGUUUCUGCUACUGCAGAUGUUUCAGGUUUUUACUACUGCAGAUGUUUCAGGUUUCUACUACUGCAGGUGUUUCAGGUUUCUACUACUGCAGAUGUUUCAGGUUUCUACUGCUGCAGAUGUUUCAGGUUUCUACUGCAGGUGUUUCAGGUUUCUACGACUGCAGAUGUUUCAGGUUUCUACUACUGCAGAUGUUUUAGGUUUCUACUACUGCAGGUGUUUCAGGUUUCUACUGCAGAUGUUUCAGGUUUCUACGACUGCAGAUGUUUCAGGUUUCUACUACUGCAGAUGUUUCAAGUUUCUACUGCAGAUGUUUCAGGUUUUUACUACUGCAGGUGUUUCAGGUUUCUACUGCAGGUGUUUCAGGUUUCUACUACUGCAGGUGUUUCAGGUUUCUACGACUGCAGAUGUUUCAGGUUUCUACUACUGCAGAUGUUUCAGGUUUCUACUGCAGAUGUUUCAGGUUUCUACUACUGCAGAUGUUUCAGGUUUCUACUACUGCAGAUGUUUCAGGUUUCUACUGCAGAUGUUUCAGGUUUCUACUACUGCAGGUGUUUCAGGUUUCUACGACUGCAGAUGUUUCAGGUUUCUACUACUGCAGAUGUUUCAGGUUUCUACUGCAGGUGUUUCGGGUUUCUACUGCAGGUGUUUCAGGUUUCUACUGCAGAUGUUUCAGGUUUCUACUGCUGCAGGUGUUUCAGGUUUCUACUGCAGGUGUUUCAGGUUUCUACUGCUGCAGAUGUUUCAGGUUUCUACUGCAGGUGUUUCAGGUUUCUACUGCAGGUGUUUCAGGUUUCUACUACUGCAGGUGUUUCAGGUUUCUACUAAUGCAGAUGUUUCAGGUUUCUACUGCAGCUGUUUCAGGUUUCUACUACUGCAGGUGUUUCAGGUUUCUACUACUGCAGGUGUUUCAGGUUUCUACUACUGCAGGUGUUUCAGGUUUCUACUGCUGCAGAUGUUUCAGGUUUCUACUGCUGCAGAUGUUUCGGGUUUCUACUGCAGGUGUUUCAGGUUUCUACUACUGCAGGUGUUUCAGGUUUCUACUUCUGCAGAUGUUUCAGGUUUCUACUACUGCAGGUGUUUCAGGUUUCUACUACUGCAGGUGUUUCAGGUUUCUACUGCUGCAGAUGUUUCAGGUUUCUACUGCUGCAGAUGUUUCGGGUUUCUACUGCAGGUGUUUCAGGUUUCUACUACUGCAGGUGUUUCAGGUUUCUACUGCUGCAGGUGUUUCAGGUUUCUACUACUGCAGGUGUUUCAGGUUUCUACUACUGCAGAUGUUUCAGGUUUCUACUGCAGGUGUUUCAGGUUUCUACGACUGCAGAUGUUUCAGGUUUCUACUACUGCAGAUGUUUCAGGUUUCUACUACUGCAGGUGUUUCAGGUUUCUACUGCAGAUGUUUCAGGUUUCUACGACUGCAGAUGUUUCAGGUUUCUACUACUGCAGAUGUUUCAGGUUUCUACUGCAGAUGUUUCAGGUUUUUACUACUGCAGGUGUUUCAGGUUUCUACUGCAGGUGUUUCAGGUUUCUACUACUGCAGGUGUUUCAGGUUUCUACGACUGCAGAUGUUUCAGGUUUCUACUACUGCAGAUGUUUCAGGUUUCUACUGCAGAUGUUUCAGGUUUCUACUACUGCAGAUGUUUCAGGUUUCUACUACUGCAGAUGUUUCAGGUUUCUACUGCAGAUGUUUCAGGUUUCUACUACUGCAGGUGUUUCAGGUUUCUACGACUGCAGAUGUUUCAGGUUUCUACUACUGCAGAUGUUUCAGGUUUCUACUGCAGGUGUUUCAGGUUUCUACUACUGCAGGUGUUUCAGGUUUCUACUGCAGAUGUUUCAGGUUUCUACUGCUGCAGGUGUUUCAGGUUUCUACUGCAGGUGUUUCAGGUUUCUACUGCUGCAGAUGUUUCAGGUUUCUACUGCAGGUGUUUCAGGUUUCUACUGCAGGUGUUUCAGGUUUCUACUACUGCAGGUGUUUCAGGUUUCCACUAAUGCAGAUGUUUCAGGUUUCUACUGCAGCUGUUUCAGGUUUCUACUACUGCAGGUGUUUCAGGUUUCUACUACUGCAGGUGUUUCAGGUUUCUACUACUGCAGGUGUUUCAGGUUUCUACUGCUGCAGAUGUUUCAGGUUUCUACUGCUGCAGAUGUUUCGGGUUUCUACUGCAGGUGUUUCAGGUUUCUACUACUGCAGGUGUUUCAGGUUUCUACUUCUGCAGAUGUUUCAGGUUUCUACUACUGCAGGUGUUUCAGGUUUCUACUACUGCAGGUGUUUCAGGUUUCU
rnacentral:lncRNA from 1 species